CUGUGGGAGACCAUGAACCCUCACGAAUAUCAGUGAAAACCAUGCCUGAUCUAUGCACGAGAAAGGCAUUCCUGAAUCCACAAGUUGCUUUUAUUUAUUUCUCUUUCAAAGUGCAAUAAAAUGUUGCUCGAGAGGGAGAGGUCUCGUAGGGCUGGGAGUAAGCCCCGCUGUACGCACUGAGGGCAGCAGUGGCUAUUUUCAUAGCGCUGUGAUGCUGAAGAGAGGUGUCAGCAUUGGGCACCGUGGAACCACCUCACCGCUGCCUGAAGUCGCAUCUGAAGUUUUCUUUGCACUUUAUUGCACAUGAGUUCUGCUCUUGGCUGCCGGUUCCUCCCUUCAGACUCCCAAAGACUUUCAGCCAGCUCAGCUUUUCCUGUUUACUUCCAUGUAAAAGGCAUCAUUGGUGAUAUCACUCCAAGCCUAGAAAAGAGCUCAAAUUGAAGGUACAGGCACUAAAAUUGGCUUUUGGACACCUGGGCACCCAUCCAGACCUCUCAGAGCCACCAUUCAGCAGC
ensembl:lncRNA